rnacentral:rRNA from 1 species
AUACCCUAUUAUUUUAAGUGUUAAUUUUGCUUACCUGGGUACUAUUAGUUAGGAUCUUUAAACCCAAAGAAUUUGGCGGUACCUUAUUCCAUUCAGAGGAACCUAUCCCGUAAUUGAUAAUACACGAUUUACUUUACUUAAUUUAUUUGUUUGUAUAUCUCCGUUAUCAGAAAAUCUUAUUGGAGUUAUAAUUUUCUUGAUUUAUGAUUGUAAAAUAUUUCAGGUCAAGGUGCAGCUUAUAAUUAAGAGGAGGUGGGUUACAAUAAAUUUUUGUUUAUUAUGGAUUUAAUAGUUAAAUACUCUUAAUGAAGGUGGAUUUGAUAGUAAUUUAAUUAAGUUAUUUUAAUUGAUAUUGGCUCUAAGGUGUGUACACAUCGCCCGUCACUCUCA